AUUAUUUAUUUACUUGUUUAAAUUCAAUAAAGUUUAAUUUUAAAUAGAUCAUGUGUUGGUUUGUGCGUCCAUUGCUUACAUAGUAAAUGAUUUAGUGUAUAGAGUUUAGCUUAUACACGGAAGAUUAAAUCAUCUGUUCUUGUAAGACAUAAAAGUUAAUGUUCACAAUCUAAUGAUGGAAUUGGACAAAUCAUCGGAAUGAUUGUAGCACAAGAUUAAAUAUAAUUUAUCUUG
rnacentral:lncRNA from 1 species